rnacentral:lncRNA from 1 species
GACAGAGGGGAGCUAAGACCAUGUUCUCCUUAAUUUCAAAAGGAGCAAACUUCCCACAAGAGCCAGCAAGAAUCUUUGGGGCUUGUGGAGUCUUUGGUUUCUGGAAGAAUCUUGUAAUUUCUGCUUUCUGAGCAUUAAUACGCUUUUCCUCCUCUUUUAACCGUUUCUCCUCUUCUUUCUUUCUCUUCUCCUCAAGUUUUGCCUCCAAGGCUUCCUGCCUCUCCUUGCGUUUCUCCUCCUUCACUCUCAACUUCUCAGCUUUUUCCUUUUCUUCUUUUUCUUUCUUUUCCCUUCUUUCUCUCUCUUUCAGUUCUUUCUCUUCCUCUUUCUUCUUCUUUGCCUCUUCCUUGGCUCGCUCCUUUGCAGCUUUUGCCUCUUCUUUCAGCCUUCCUUUUUCCUCUCUUUCUGCUUGUAACUUCUGCAGCUUGUCAGCACGCUCCUGAUCUCUUUGCAAUCUCAGCUUCUCCUUCUCUGCAGAACUUUUGUGGAGUUUCUGAGAUACCUUCCUAACAGGCGUUGAGACAGCUAAAGGACUAGUAUUUCUCUU